rfam:Solanum lycopersicum cultivar Heinz 1706 chromosome 12, whole genome shotgun sequence.
UAUGGGCAAAUGAUGAAAUUUUUAUAUCGUAAAUGGGUAAUUUGCGUCUGAAUCAUUCUUUGAUGUUAUCACCUUGGAGAACUGAUGCCCUUU